GACGAACGCUGGCGGCGUGCUUAACACUUGCAAGUCGAACGGAAAGGCCCUGCUUUCGUGGGGUGCUCGAGUGGCGAACGGGUGAGUAACACGUGAGUAACCUGCCCUUGACUUUGGGAUAACUUCAGGAAACUGGGGCUAAUACCGGAUAGGAGCUCCUGCUGCAUGGUGGGGGUUGGAAAGUUUCGGCGGUUGGGGAUGGACUCGCGGCUUAUCAGCUUGUUGGUGGGGUAGUGGCUUACCAAGGCUUUGACGGGUAGCCGGCCUGGGAGGGUGACCGGCCACAUUGGGACUGAGAUACGGCCCAGACUCCUACGGGAGGCAGCAGUGGGGAAUAUUGCACAAUGGGCGGAAGCCUGAUGCAGCAACGCCGCGUGCGGGAUGACGGCCUUCGGGUUGUAAACCGCUUUCGCCUGUGACGAAGCGUGAGUGACGGUAAUGGGUAAAGAAGCACCGGCUAACUACGUG
rnacentral:rRNA from 1 species